GAGAAGCUGUGUUGCUUCUUCAAGGCUUUUUUGUUGAUUUUAAUUUUGGUUGCUUGUUUGGGGUUUCUUCUUUCUUUCUUAUAGAUUUAAUUUUUCUGUUUUGAUGUAAUUUUAUUUUUAAUUUUUUUCCUAUUAAUUCCAUGGGUUAUUGAGUUCUGUUAGAGAGAAUUAAGGUGGCUAUACCUACAUGUAUGCAUGGGCUUGAGCAGUCUGGAUAAGCAAUAAACUGGGUGACGGCAAGCUUUCUAGCUGUAUCGUUCUGCUUUUAGAUUAUGCAUGGAGAGAGAAAGGCUUGUGACUUGUUCAUAAUUUCUGUGGUGUGCAAGUGGUCAAAGAAGCAUAUAAUGCAGUGAUUGGCUAAUACAAAAUAGUGUCUGGAGCCUCUAGAGUCCAGUCUAGGUCUGUUCAAGUAAUGGCAGCACUAAGAAGGCUGAGAUGAAAAGGAAUUUAUUGUUGCAAGGACCCAGAUGCCUGUGAGGAGUGAAAGCAACCUAAUCCUGGGAACAAAGACCAAACUGUGUUCGGGCAUGUGUUGGUUUUGUUGUGUGACACCGGUUAUACAAAUGCCUUGUUAUCAAAGAGAGAAGUACAUGUGGCAAUAACCAGGGGUUUUAGGUACUUUUAGAGACUCCAGCAAAUCAGCAAACCUUGGUCAAGACUUGGAUGAGUGGAAGUCCCUAAAGACAGGCCUUUGGUGUCAGCUGAAGAAACAGUAAAGUUUAGGGUACCUCAUGUGUAUCCCCAGACUCUGCUUACCAGGCCUCACAAGAGUGAGCCCCAGUGUAAAUGCAAAUACAAGCUGGCUGGCUGAGCAUGAAUGCCACCAUGUUUCUCCUUCCUGAGUUUGUACCUGAGCUGAUGGAAGAAGAGAAAAUGGCUGAUUAGAUCUGGAAGAAAAAAUUAUUCAGAUGUUAAUUGCUUCUUGUGUGGCAUGUCUUGACUUUUUGGGAGAAUUGUUAUGUGCAGCGUGAUUUGAACUUCCUCUAGAACAGGGAUACUGAGGUGCAACAUUUGCCACUAGGGCUGAGUACUGACAGGACUACUGAAAGAAAACAAAAGCAAACAAAACAGAAACCGGUUUUGUUGUGAAAAAGAGCGGACUCUUUCACUUGGGGAGGGGACAAGACGCGACGCCCCAGCCGGCCGAGCAUCUGCGCCGUAGAGGAUGAAGUU